CCCGAACAGGAAGAGGAAGAUCGCGGAAGAAAGUGGAAGUGGACUCACCAACGACUUAGCCAGUGGCGAACAGAAAGACUCUUACAGGCGAAGGGUGCCUUAAUUGAGAGGAUACGCGAGAGGACUCGAGUCCCGCAAACUACGAAAGGAACCAUCGUUGAAGACAAGCAGAGGACGAAAGAAGGAAAAUGUCGUCUUCAGCGAUUGCCAAGACCUCUAAGUACACGUACCGCUCCGGGGGCGGUGCCGCCGAUGUAAGCAUCGAAUACAGCGCCGACCUGAGCGCUCUCAGCAGACUCGAGGACAAAAUCCGCCUACUGCAGGAUGACCUGGAGUCUGAGAGAGAGCUGCGUCAGAGGAUCGAACGCGAGCGCGCUGAUUUAAGCGUGCAAGUCAUCCAGCUAUCCGAACGUCUCGAAGAGGCUGAGGGUGGCGCCGAAUCUCAAUUUGAGAUCAACAAGAAGAGGGAUAUGGAACUGGCCAAGCUGCGCAAACUACUCGAAGAUGUCCAUCUUGAGAGCGAGGAGACCGCACAUCUCUUGCGCAAAAAGCACCAGGAGGUCGUUGUUGACUUCCAGGAUCAAAUCGAUCAACUUUCGAAAGCACGUGCCAGGGCUGACAAGGAAAAAUCCAAAUUCCAGCAGGAAGUGUAUGAGCUCCUCGCUCAACUCGACAAUGUUACCAAGGAAAAGUUGAUGUCAAUAAAAACAGUGGAGAAACUCGAAAUACACGUAUCUGAACUGAACGUGAAGAUUGAGGAAUUGAACCGUACGAUUGUGGACAUCACUAGCCAUAAAACUCGGCUGUCUCAAGAGAAUAUUGAGUUGGUCAAGGAGGUGCAGGAUCUUAAGGUAAACAUCGAAAGUAUUACCUACCUGAAGACUCAACUCGCUGGUCAACUCGAGGAUGCCCGCCGUCGCCUUGAAGAUGAAGAACGCCGUCGUGCGUUGGUCGAGGCUUCGUUGCACCAGGUCGAGGUGGAACUGGAGUCUGUCCGCGUCCAAUUGGAAGAAGAAUCUGAAGCGCGUUUGGACAUUGAACGUCAAUUGGUCAAGGCUAAUGGAGAAGUUUCAAUAUGGAGGUCGAAAUACGAGACCGAGGCUAAUGCUCGUGCUGAAGAGGUAGAAGAACUUCGCCGCAAAUACUCCGCUCGCAUUCAGGAACAGGAAGAACAAAUCGAAACUUUACUUGUGAAGAUUAACAAUCUCGAGAAACAGAAAUCGCGUCUGCAGUCUGAAGUAGAAGUCCUGAUCAUCGAUUUAGAGAAGGCCAAUGCAACUGCUCGCGAACUCCAGAAGCGUGUUGAACAUCUCGAGAAGAUCAACAUAGAAUUGAAGACUCGCUUGGACGAAUCGCUCGCUAUGUAUGAACAAAGUCAGCGCGAUCUUCGCAACAAGCAACAAGAAUUGCAACGUACGAAUGCCGAACUCGAUAAGACUCGUGAAAUGAAAGAUCAAUUGGCUCGUGAGAACAAGAAACUUUCAGAUGACCUGAACGAUGCUAAGAAUCAAUUGGCUGACAUGACUCGCAGACUUCACGAAUUGGAAUUGGAACUGCGCCGAUUGGAGAACGAACGUGAAGAAUUGGCUGCAGCUUACAAGGAAGCUGAAGCAGGCCGCAAAAUCGAGGAGCAACGUGCACAGAGAUUGGCAGCUGAAUUGAGCCAACAACGUCACGAGUUCGAACGCCGCCUUACUGAAAAGGAUGAGGAGAUUGAAGCUAUUCGCAAACAGACCAGCAUCGAAAUCGAGCAGCUGAAUGCCCGCGUGGUAGAAGCUGAGAUGAAGUUGAAGACCGAGGUACAGCGUAUAAAGAAGAAGCUCCAGAUUCAGAUUACCGAGUUGGAACUGUCCUUGGAUGUGGCCAACAAGAACAACAUCGAUCUGCAGAAGACUAUCAAGAAGCAAUCCCUCACUCUAACCGAGCUUCAAGCUCACUACGACGAAGUACAGCGCCAAUUGCAGGUCACCCUGGAUCAACUGGGCAUCAGCCAACGUCGUCUCCAAUCUUUGACGGCCGAGCUGGAGGAAGUCCGCGGCAAUUACGAAUCCGCUCUGCGCGCGAAGAGAAUCGUCGAACAGCAAUACGAGGAAUCGGUUAGCCGCAUCAACGAGCUGACUACCAUCAACGUCAACAUUGCUUCAUCGAGGGCUAAACUCGAGCAAGAACUGGCCACCUUGGCUGGAGACUACGAGGAGGUCACCAAAGAAUUGAAAAUUAGCGAUGAGAGAUACCAGAGAGUGCAAACCGAACUUAAGCACACUGUUGAGAUCCUUCAUGAGGAACAGGAGCGCAUUGUUAAGAUCGAGGCUAUCAAGAAGUCGCUGGAAAUUGAGGUGAAGAAUCUAUCCGUGAGGUUGGAAGAAGUAGAAGCUAAUGCCAUCGUUGGAGGCAAGCGUAUCAUCAGCAAACUGGAGGCUAGGAUGCGUGACUUGGAACUCGAAUUGGACGAAGAGAAACGCCGACACGCUGAGACCGUGAAGAUCCUGCGCAAGAAGGAACGUAACAUCAAAGAAGUGAUGAUUCAGGUUGAAGAGGAUGCGAAGAACAUCGCCUUGCUGCAGGAGUCUCUCGACAAGGCAUCUCAAAAGGUCAGCAUCUACAAGAGGCAGCUGCAGGAACAGGAAGGCAUGUCCCAGCAGAGUGUCACCAGGGUCCGCCGAUUCCAGAGGGAACUUGAGGCCGCGGAGGAUCGCGCCGAUACGGCCGAGAGCAAUUUGACCUUGAUCCGCGCCAAACACCGCAGCUUUGUCACCACCUCAACUGUGCCCGGUUCUCAGGUGUAUCUCGUCCAAGAAACGAGGCAGGAGCUGUAAAUCACCGUCAACAGCUUCACCCUUUGUCACUUCGAACGCCACGUCGUCGUCUUUACAAACGCAUCACGAACAUGGCCAUGACGAAAAACAAAAACAUGAAAAAGACGCGACGUCAAUCAUCAUAAAGGCCGAGAGAGUUUUCAACGGGCCGUACAGCAUGAUAGUUGCGAGAGAUUAAAUUGGAGCAAAAAAGCAGAAUACGCAUCUAUAUAUACAUACAUAUGGAUACGAAUGCAGCGUUUACUGUCGCGUAACGACCCGUCGUAAAUUCGAAAUUGCUUGGCCAACGAGACGCGACGCAACGUUGAAAAUACGUCGCAACGAGAAAAGAUAAACUAAAGAAAAAUCAAUGCUCAUCAUUUAAGAAACCUGUGCGAAACAUAAAAAAAAUCUUUUAAAAUCAAGAAUCGAUAUGCUCACACCGUGAAUACACAAUAAAAUCUAACGAUCUUCUCGUCCCAAUUAUGUGAAUAUAAUCGAGCGUAAGGGCAGAGAAAACGGAUAAGAGCAACCAAGAGAAGAGGGCAAUGGCAUUCACGCCAUUCUAUUCGCGCGUGUCGCAAUUGUAUAUUUAAAUGGAUAACUUUAAUUCUAUUCUAUUACUACAUAGAUAGGUAACUAUUGCCCAUAUACACAACUCUCACUGUACAACAUACACAAUAACCUGUGUCAACAUUAAUUUAAUAAAUAAACUGAAACGCGUACGUACGAA
rnacentral:misc_RNA from 1 species